rnacentral:snRNA from 1 species
GGAUGUGAGAGCAAUCUGGUUGGCACAUCUGUCACCCCAUUGAUCGCCAGCAUUGAUCCGACUGAUCUGGCUGGCUAGGCGGGUGUCCCCUUCCUCACCACUCCAUGUGCAUCCCUCCUGAAGCUGCAUGCUUAGUUGAAGUAGACAACAUUCCCUGAUAGAGGAGGACCGUUCUUUGAUCAAGGGUAUACGAGUAGCUGUGCUCCCCUGCUAGAACCUCCAAACAAGGUCUCAAGAAAUUGUGAUUCAAGAGUAAAGAAUCCAAAUUCAGUUUCAAAACUGAAGGUUUAGAUUC